UUGGCGACCUGACAAGAGGAGACUGUG
rnacentral:piRNA from 1 species